UAACCUUUGUGUAUUUGUGACAUGUGGCAUUUAUGUGAAGUUACAGACACGUAUUUUCCGGUGUACCUAAACGUCUGGUCAAUUUUUACAGUUAACAGAAUUCAUAUUGUAGGAGAAAGGAUGAUGCAAGACGUUCUAGAAACUAACGACUCAAUCUCGCAGCCAGGCCUCAUUCAGAGAUUAAGUACAAGUAUCAGCAGGUUAUAUCAGCACUACUUAGACAAAUGGACCCCACAUACAGCUUCACGGUGGGCGUUUACACUUGUAAUGAUUCUUGGCUUCAUGUUGCGUAUUAUGCUGAGGCAGGGAUGGUACAUUGUCUGCUAUGCACUCGGCAUCUACCACCUCAAUCUCUUUCUAGCUUUCCUUACUCCGAAAAUUGAUCCAGCCUUUUCACAAGAGGAUGAUGAUGGACCGAGUCUUCCCACAAAAGUCAAUGAAGAAUUUCGUCCCUUUAUGCGACGACUACCCGAGUUUAAAUUUUGGUACAGUGUAACAAAAUCUACUGUAGUGGCCUUCUUCUGUACUUUCUUUCAGGUAUUCAAUGUUCCGGUCUUCUGGCCCAUUCUUGUUAUGUACUUCAUCACCCUAUUCUGCAUCACCAUGAAGAGACAGAUAAGGGUUGUAGCCAGCUGUGUCAACUUCGAGUUGAGGAGCUAAUGGCGGCCCGCCUGUUUAUUGCGACUUUGUCCUUGUGGUUGUCCAGAUCUGGGGGAUUUAUGGCUGUUCUCUUGCAUAUGAUCAAGUAUAAAUAUUUACCAUUCUCGUUGGGAAAACCUCGUUAUCAGGCUCAGGAGAAUUCAAAAUCUGCUGCCCACUGACCCAGCUAUGCUACUCAACCCAAGAAAUUGUAACUACUUACUGUCUCCCACCAAUUAGAUAAUAAAUAAAGCAAAGAAAAGAAGAAUGAGAAACUGUGUGUCUUUGCAAAAUCUUACUUAAAAGUAAAGCCAUGUUGGUAUGGUAUGUGUUACACCAGGUGAGCUACCAUUCAACAAUGUGUUUUCCAGAUGUGCCUGUAAAUUUGCAGUGAAGAAAUUGGUGUAUUUUGUUGCCCUAUAAGAAAGAUCAGAACUAUAUUAUGGUAAAAUAUUGCUGGAUUGCUGCAUACAACCUUCAAAGUAUUUCGAUAUACAUAGUACAGUAAUUAUCUCCUUCCUGUUGGAAGGAGAAAAUUAGGUUACCUAUACAAGCAAGACAAUUGACAAGUCAUUGGUAUAACUUACAUUGUUCCAUUUCAUGCCAAAAAUUUAUCUAGGCCCAGGGUUUUCGUGCUAAUUAUUUAAAACUUCAAUCUUGAGUCUGGAUGAAUUUAUUCAUGUUUGACUUCUGCAUACACAAGGAUCAUUAGUGGGAAAGUUAGUUUAAAAUAUUUUUUUUUUUUUUUUUUUUCAAUAUCAGUGUUUGUCAAUGAGAACUGA